UCCGGUUGAUCCUGCCGGAGGCCACUGCUAUGGGGGUCCGACUAAGCCAUGCGAGUCAUGGGGCGCGCUCUGCGCGCACCGGCGGACGGCUCAAUAACACGUCGGUAACCUACCCUCGGGAGGGGGAUAACCCCGGGAAACUGGGGCUAAUCCCCCAUAGGCCUGAGGUACUGGAAGGUCCUCAGGCCGAAAGGGCGUAAGCCGCCCGAGGAUGGGCCGGCGGCCGAUUAGGUAGUUGGUGGGGUAACGGCCCACCAAGCCGAAGAUCGGUACGGGCCAUGAGAGUGGGAGCCCGGAGAUGGACACUGGAGACACGGGUCCAGGCCCUACGGGGCGCAGCAGGCGCGAAACCUCCGCAAUGCGGGCAACCGCGACGGGGGGACCCCCAGUGCCGUGGCACAGCCACGGCUUUUCCGGAGUGUAAAAAGCUCCGGGAAUAAGGGCUGGGCAAGGCCGGUGGCAGCCGCCGCGGUAAUACCGGCGGCCCAAGUGGUGGCCGCUAUUAUUGGGCCUAAAGCGUCCGUAGCCGGGCCCGUAAGUCCCUGGCGAAAUCCCACGGCUCAACCGUGGGGCUUGCUGGGGAUACUGCGGGCCUUGGGACCGGGAGAGGCCGGGGGUACCCCUGGGGUAGGGGUGAAAUCCUGUAAUCCCAGGGGGACCGCCUAUGGCGAAGGCGCCCGGCUGGAACGGGUCCGACGGUGAGGGACGAAGGCCAGGGGAGCGAACCGGAUUAGAUACCCGGGUAGUCCUGGCUGUAAASGAUGCGGGCUAGGUGUCGGGCGAGCUUCGGAGCUCGCCCGGUGCCGAAGGGAAGCCGUUAAGCCCGCCGCCUGGGGAGUACGGCCGCAAGGCUGAAACUUAAAGGAAUUGGCGGG
rnacentral:rRNA from 1 species